UGGUGGAGUGAUUUGUCUGCUUAAUUGCGAUAACGAACGAGACCUUAACCUGCUAACUAGUUACGCGAACCUCCGCGUUCGUGGCCAACUUCUUAGAGGGACUUUUGCGUGUUUUAACCAAAGGAAGUUUGAGGCAAUAACA
rnacentral:rRNA from 1 species